AACGAACGCUGGCGGCAUGCCUAACACAUGCAAGUCGAACGAGACCUUCGGGUCUAGUGGCGCACGGGUGCGUAACGCGUGGGAACCUGCCCUUAGGUUCGGAAUAACUCCCCGACAGGGGUGCUAAUACCGGAUAAUGUCUGCGGACCAAAGAUUUAUCGCCCUUGGAGGAGCCCGCGUUGGAUUAGCUAGGUGGUAGGGUAAAAGCCUACCACGGCGACGAUACAUAGCUGGUCUGAGAGGAAGAGCAGCCACACUGGGACUGAGACACGGCCCAGAAUCCUACGGGAGGCGGCAGUGGGUAAUAUUGGACAAUGGGCGAAAGCAUGAUCCAGCAAUGCCGGGUGAGUGAUGAAGGCCUGAGGGUUGUAAAGCUCUUUUACCCGGGAUGAUAAUGACAGUACCGGGAGAAUAAGCUCCGGCUAACUCCGUG
rnacentral:rRNA from 1 species